rnacentral:rRNA from 1 species
GACGAACGCUGGCGGCGUGCCUAAUACAUGCAAGUCGAGCGAACCAAUGGGAGCUUGCUCCCUGAGGUUAGCGGCGGACGGGUGAGUAACACGUGGGUAACCUGCCUGUAAGAUUGGGAUAACUCCGGGAAACCGGAGCUAAUACCGGAUAAUAUUUUGAACCGCAUGGUUCAAAAUUGAAAGACGGCUUCGGCUGUCACUUACAGAUGGACCCGCGGCGCAUUAGCUAGUUGGUGAGGUAACGGCUCACCAAGGCGACGAUGCGUAGCCGACCUGAGAGGGUGAUCGGCCACACUGGGACUGAGACACGGCCCAGACUCCUACGGGAGGCAGCAGUAGGGAAUCUUCCGCAAUGGACGAAAGUCUGACGGAGCAACGCCGCGUGAGCGAUGAAGGCCUUCGGGUCGUAAAGUUCUGUUGUUAGGGAAGAACAAGUACCAGAGUAACUGCUGGUACCUUGACGGUACCUAACCAGAAAGCCACGGCUAACUACGUG